rnacentral:rRNA from 1 species
CUAGGUGUUGUCUGUAUCGACCCGGACAGUGCCGUAGCUAACGCGUUAAGUAUCCCGCCCGGGGAGUACGCACGCAAGUGUGAAACUCAAAGGAAUUGACGGGGGCCCGCACAAGCGGUGGAGUAUGUGGUUUAAUUCGAUGCAACGCGAAGAACCUUACCUGGACUUGACAUGUCGCGAAUCUCGGUGAAAGCUGGGAGUGCCUUCGGGAGCGCGAACACAGGUGGUGCGUGGCUGUCGUCAGCUCGUGUCGUGAGAUGUUGGGUUAAGUCCCGCAACGAGCGCAACCCUCGUUUUUAGUUGCCAGCAUGGUAUUAACCGAUGGGCACUCUAGAGAGACUGCCGGUGACAGACCGGAGGAAGGUGGGGAUGACGUCAAGUCAGCAUGCCCCUUACGUCCAGGGCGACACACGUACUACAAUGGUCAGGACAAAGGGUAGCCAACCCGCGAGGGGGAGCCAAUCCCAUCAAACCUGGCCUCAGUUCAGAUUGCAGGCUGCAACUCGCCUGCAUGAAGGAGGAAUCGCUAGUAAUCGCAGGUCAGCAUACUGCGGUGAAUCCGUUCCCGGGCCUUGUACACACCGCCCGUCACACCAUGGAAGUUGGCCAUGCCCGAAGUCAUUACCCUAACUGGU